GCCAGAGCUCAGGCACAGGGAGAUGAUGGGGUCUCAGGCUCAGCUGUUCUGCCUCCUGCUUCUCUGGGUCCCAGGUUCCAGAGGGGCCGUUGGGGUGACCCAGAAUCCAUCCUCCCUGGCUGUGUCUCUAGGAGAGAGGGUCACCCUGUCCUGCAGGGCCAGUCAGAGCAUUGGUAAUGCCUUAGACUGGUACCAACAUCCCCCAGGCCAGUCUCCCAGACCCCUCAUUUACUUGGCUUCCAGCCUGCAGCCUGGGGUCCCUGCCCGGUUCAGUGGCAGUGGCUCUGGGACAGAUUUCUCUCUUACCAUCAGUGGUGUGGAACCAGAGGACGUCGCAGACUAUUACUGCCUGCAGAGGAAUAGUUAUCCUCUCACAGUGGUUCAGCUCUGAACAAAAACCUGCCCAGGCAGCUGCUGAGGGAGCCCCCACUGUCCCAGGGGCUCUUCCUUCCCCCACAGCUGGGACAGCUUGUCUGGGCUGCCUCAGAGGGAGGCUUCUGGGUCUCACAGAAGGCUGCUGGGCCUGGGAUGGGUGCUGAGCCUGGUCUCUUCCCAUCCAACAAUCAUGGAGUGGCGCCUCCUCACUCAUUGGAUGUCACCCCAAAAGUGGGUUUGGCUCACUCACAGCUGACCAAGACUCCCCUUUCCAAGCCCUCAACAAGGACUGCUAAAGCCUAAGCAUGAUAACCUGAAGUGCAGGCGGAGAUACCCAGGAGAUGGCAAGACCUUCAGAGCUGGUUGGGCCUGUCUCUUCGGGCUGAAGAAAGUCGAGGCACUUCUAUCCAAAGACUGGAAAGCCCAAAAGCUCCUCCCACUUCCCAAUACCAGAAAGGAAGUGCUCAUCACAAGACCAACUGCCACUCCCAGUUACCCCUUCCCCCACCAACUGUCAGUCUUGUCAAUGACUUCCCUCUCUAAUAUUCCCACUGUUGCUUGUUCCAACACAGUAGCAGAACUUGUUUUAGUUUCCUUUCCACAUGGGUACAAGGGGGAAGGGGGGGAAGAGUACAGCUAUGGCUCUGCACAUUCAAAUUUCAGGGGCCUCGAUUGCCAUUUUAAUGAAUAAAAGAGUCUAGUGGGUUGCAGGAAAAAGCAGGCUACUUUCUGGGUUUGCCGUGGGCUGGUGAAAAAGGCACAAGCCUCCAUUCGGGGGGCUCUGCAGCCUGAAGAGGAACAGAAAACAAAAGGCUGCAGAUGCAAGGAUUGGCACAGAGAUAAACACCCAGCAUGGCUGAGGAAAAGGUCCAGUUAGAGGAUUCCAUCCUGUCGAGCCACCAGCGUGAAUCUAAAAUCACAAUUCACAGUCCAAGUAAAGGAAAGAAUUUUCUCAAACAAGUUAAAUUUUAUGACAGGCUUUAGAAAUCUGGACUUCCUACCCUUUCAUUUCCUAAUGAAUCCAGCAGCAAGGAAUGAAGCCAGGGAGUCCCGGCAGAACAAUCUGCUUCCCUUCUGGCAACAGCAUUUAAAGGAACAGGACUGAGGAAAACAUGAAAUGGAUGUUUUCAUUGAAGUUUUCAGACUGAGACGGUGCAAGAAGAAUUUUUUUUAACAUAACAUAAAGAAUGAAUGCACUUAGUUAGCAGGAUCCCGAGUAUAUGUUUCAUGUGUGUC